UUUAGGCUUAGGCUUAGGCUUAGACUUAGGCUUAGGCUUAGGCUUAGGCUUAGGCUUUGGCCCAGGC
ensembl:ncRNA Y53F4A.4 ncRNA